GCCAUCACGUUUGUCUAAAUUGUUAAAGGUGAUCUUCAGAUUUCGUAAAAAAAUUCGGCAGAACUUCGGAACUGGAAUGACUGCACCUCUAAACAGGGUUUAUGUACAACUUUCACUAACGAGGCUCCAAACUCUGAUUAAAGCUUCACCGCCACUUCAAAGGUCGGGUGCGAACAUUAUCAACACGGAGAUAUCAUACUCGAGCCAAACAAGUGAACAGUUACAAUAACAACAACAUGUUAUUGCAAAACAAAUGUUUAGUUACAAAAACAACUUUUGUUUUUUAAGUUUGAAUAAAAAAAGUCAAUAAACGGUAAAGUGACAUAAGUUAUACGAAUAUUCUUCACAAUAUUUGACACCCAUCCCCGCACCAAGUUAAGGAAAUUAAUGUUUUACUUUUUAGUUAUUUAGUGGAACUAUUAGAUUUCCGAUUUUAAUUUGAAACAAGAUGGUAUUACUAUGCUUUUAUGCCGUAUGUUAAUAGCCAUAUUGAUAAAUCUUUGGGUGUUUUGAUGAAUAAAACUUGUAUAAAAAGAACCGUGGUGCAGUACAUAAACUUUUCCGCAUUUAUUUAUUUUUGUGAAUGACAUUUACGUCGAUUUAUGCGCAUAUAAUUUUAGCGUUCGUGCAAAUAAAAUAUAUGAACAAGGAAUUAUA